rnacentral:rRNA from 2 species
UGGGGGAUAUUGCACAAUGGGGGGAACCCUGAUGCAGCGACGCCGCGUGAAGGAAGAAGGUCUUCGGAUCGUAAACUUUUGUUUUCAGGGACGAUAAUGACGGUACCUGAAGAGGAAGCCACGGCUAACUACGUGCCAGCAGCCGCGGUAAUACGUAGGUGGCGAGCGUUGUCCGGAAUUACUGGGUGUAAAGGGUGCGUAGGCGGGUUUGCAAGUCAGUUGUGAAACCCAUGGGCUUAACCCAUGGCAUGCGACUGAAACUGCAAGUCUUGAGUGUCGGAGAGGUAAGUGGAAUUCCUAGUGUAGCGGUGGAAUGCGUAGAUAUUAGGAGGAACACCAGUGGCGAAGGCGACUUACUGGACGAUAACUGACGCUGAGGCACGAAAGCGUGGGGAGCAAACAGG